rnacentral:rRNA from 1 species
UAUACCCUGGUAGUCCACGCUGUAAACGAUGUCGACUUGGAGGUUGUUCCCUUGAGGAGUGGCUUCCGGAGCUAACGCGUUAAGUCGACCGCCUGGGGAGUACGGCCGCAAGGUUAAAACUCAAAUGAAUUGACGGGGGCCCGCACAAGCGGUGGAGCAUGUGGUUUAAUUCGAUGCAACGCGAAGAACCUUACCUACUCUUGACAUCCAGAGAACUUAGCAGAGAUGCUUUGGUGCCUUCGGGAACUCUGAGACAGGUGCUGCAUGGCUGUCGUCAGCUCGUGUUGUGAAAUGUUGGGUUAAGUCCCGCAACGAGCGCAACCCUUAUCCUUUGUUGCCAGCGGUUCGGCCGGGAACUCAAAGGAGACUGCCAGUGAUAAACUGGAGGAAGGUGGGGAUGACGUCAAGUCAUCAUGGCCCUUACGAGUAGGGCUACACACGUGCUACAAUGGCAUAUACAAAGAGAAGCGACCUCGCGAGAGCAAGCGGACCUCAUAAAGUAUGUCGUAGUCCGGAUUGGAGUCUGCAACUCGACUCCAUGAAGUCGGAAUCGCUAGUAAUCGUGGAUCAGAAUGCCACGGUGAAUACGUUCCCGGGCCUUGUACACACCGCCCGUCACACCAUGGGAGUGGGUUGCAAAAGAAGUAGGUAGCUUAACCUU